AAAUCCUAGAAAAAGAAGAGCAAAACAACAGCAAAAGAAGUAGAAGGCAAGAAAUAAUUAAUUUCAGCUCUGAUUUUAAUUAUUUCUUGCCUUCUACUUCUUUUGCUGUUGUUUUGCUCUUCUUUUUCUAGGAUUUU
rnacentral:miRNA from 1 species